UAAGCGGAGGAAAAGAAACUAACAAGGAUUCCCCUAGUAACUGCGAGUGAAGCGGGAAAAGCUCAAAUUUAAAAUCUGGCGGUCUUAGGCCGUCCGAGUUGUAAUUUAGAGAAGCGUCUUCCGCGCCGGACCGUGCACAAGUCUCCUGGAAUGGAGCGUCAUAGAGGAUGAGAAUCCCGUCUUUGGCACGGAUGCCUGGUGCUUCUGUGAUGCGCUCUCGAAGAGUCGAGUUGUUUGGGAAUGCAGCUCAAAAUGGGUGGUGAACUCCAUCUAAAGCUAAAUAUUGGCGAGAGACCGAUAGCGAACAAGUACCGUGAGGGAAAGAUGAAAAGCACUUUGGAAAGAGAGUGAAACAGUACGUGAAAUUGUUGAAAGGGAAACGCUUGAAGUCAGUCGCGUCGACCGAGACUCAGCCUUGCCUCGGCUUGGUGUACUUCUCGGCCCGACGGGUCAGCGUCAAUUUUGCCCCUCGGAUAAUGGCAAGGGAAAGGUGGCACCUUUACGGGUGUGUUAUAGUCUCCUGUCGCAUGCGAGGGGUGGGAUUGAGGAACUCAGCGCGCACCUUGGUGUCGGGGCUUCGGCCCACGUCACGCGCUUAGGAUGCUGGCGUAAUGGCUUUAAACGACC
rnacentral:rRNA from 1 species